AACGAACGCUGGCGGCAGGCCUAACACAUGCAAGUCGAACGCCCCGCAAGGGGAGUGGCAGACGGGUGAGUAACACGUGGGAACGUACCCUUUGGUUCGGAACAACUCCGGGAAACUGGAGCUAAUACCGGAUAAGCCCCUCGGGGGAAAGAUUUAUCGCCGAAGGAUCGGCCCGCGUCGGAUUAGCUAGUUGGUGGGGUAAAAGCCUACCAAGGCGACGAUCCGUAGCUGGUCUGAGAGGAUGACCAGCCACACUGGGACUGAGACACGGCCCAGACUCCUACGGGAGGCAGCAGUGGGGAAUAUUGGACAAUGGGCGUAAGCCUGAUCCAGCCAUGCCGCGUGAGUGAUGAAGGCCUUAGGGUUGUAAAGCUCUUUCGCCAGGGACGAUAAUGACGGUACCUGGAUAAGAAGCCCCGGCUAACUUCGUGCCAGCAGCCGCCGUAAGAC
rnacentral:rRNA from 1 species